GGAGCUGUGAUGGCUCCUCUUCAGAAAGGAUGGAGCAGCCAAGCAUAUACUGUGAGUUGUUAUACAAGAAGCUUAAGAAGUUUAUUUCAGAGCUUGUGCUGAGCAGGGCAGACAUGAAGAGCACUGCAGUGUCCAGGCAGGAGAGCUGCUGCCCCCCGGCAAUACCCACAGGGACAUCUCUGCUCACAGUGGCAGUGAUCACCCAAAAACUCCCUCCAAGGCUCCAGCCUUGGGCCUUCUCUGCCUGCAUUGGUUCCUCACCAGGAACACUCCUUUUGGAACACAACUAAAUUGCACUAUUUUCUUUUCAAUUAUAUCAAAUGUCCAUUUUUAGAGAACAGGAAUAUAAAGCAUAGGUGGACAAGAACUGAGAAGUCGCAAUUACAAAUUAGAUAUAA
rnacentral:lncRNA from 1 species